rnacentral:pre_miRNA from 1 species
UAUAUACUUCCUCUGUCUCAAAAAAAAUUGUCUUAAAUUUAUCUAAAUACGGAUGAAUCAAAUCACGUUUUAAUAUUAGUUACACCCGUACCUAGACGAAUUUAAGACAAAUAUUCUAGCAUGGAGGGAGUAUUUU